CACGUAGGCGGGUCCUUAAGUCAGGGGUGAAAUCCUGGAGCUCAACUCCAGAACUGCCUUUGAUACUGGGAAUCUCGAGUCCGGGAGAGGUGAGUGGAACUGCGAGUGUAGAGGUGAAAUUCGUAGAUAUUCGCAAGAACACCAGUGGCGAAGGCGGCUCACUGGCCCGGUACUGACGCUGAGGUGCGAAAGCGUGGGGAGCAAACA
rnacentral:rRNA from 1 species